rnacentral:rRNA from 1 species
UUCCGGUUGAUCCCGCCGGACCCGACUGCUAUCGGAUUAGGACUAAGCCAUGCGAGUUGAACGCUCUUUAACUAUGUUAAGAGCGUGGCAAACUGCUCAGUAACACGUUGCCAACCUACCCUAAAGAUAUGAAUAACCCCGGGAAACUGGGAUUAAUGCGUUAUAGGUCAGGAAUCCUGGAACGGAUCUUGACUAAAAGAAUUGAAGAGCAUGUUCAUCGGUUCGCUCUAGGAUGGGGCCGCGUCCGAUCAGGUUGUUGGUGGGGUAAAGGCCCACCAAGCCUAUAACCGGUACGGGCUUUGAGAGAAGUAGCCCGGAGAUGGACCCUGAGACACAGGUCCAGGCCCUACGGGGCGCAGCAGGCGCGAAAACUUCGCAAUGCGCGCAAGCGUGACGAGGCUAAUCCGAGUGUUACCUGCUGAAGGUAACUUUUGUUAAGUAUAAUUCGCUUAAAGAAAAAAGGGAGGGCAAGCCUGGUGUCAGCCGCCGCGGUAAUACCAGCUCCCUGAGUGGUUGGGGUGUUUAUUGGGCCUAAAGCAUCCGUAGCUUGUUUUAUGAGUCUUUCGUUAAAUCUGACGGCUUAACCGUUAGGCUGCGUGAGAUACCGUAGAACUAGGAGGCGGGAGAGGCUGAUGGUACUCCAAGGGUAGGGGUAAAAUCCACUGAUCCAUGGAAGACCACCAAUGGCGAAGGCGGUCAGCCAGAACGCGCUCGACGGUGAGGGAUGAAAGCUGGGGGAGCGAACCGGAUUAGAUACCCGGGUAGUCCCAGCUGUAAACGAUGCGAGCUAGGUGAUGAAGUGAUUAUGUAUUACUUCAGUGCCACAGGGAAGCCGUUAAGCUCGCCGCCUGGGGAGUACGAUCGCAAGAUUGAAACUUAAAGGAAUUGGCGGGGGAGCACCACAAGGGGUGAAGCCUGCGGUUCAAUUGGAUUCAACGCCGGG